UAAGAAGAAGUGAAAUAUUACAUUUAGUUUCGACCUAAAAAUUGGCUAAGGCCCUUCUU
rnacentral:tRNA from 1 species